rnacentral:tRNA from 1 species
UCCGGGGUCGUUCAACGGUAGGACGCGACACUCUGAAUGUCGUUAUCGGAGUUCAAAUCUCUGCCCCGGAGCCA